rnacentral:rRNA from 1 species
GAUGAACGCUGGCGGCGUGCCUAAUACAUGCAAGUCGAGCGAACAGACGAGGAGCUUGCUCCUCUGACGUUAGCGGCGGACGGGUGAGUAACACGUGGAUAACCUACCUAUAAGACUGGGAUAACUUCGGGAAACCGGAGCUAAUACCGGAUAAUAUAUUGAACCGCAUGGUUCAAUAGUGAAAGACGGUUUUGCUGUCACUUAUAGAUGGAUCCGCGCCGCAUUAGCUAGUUGGUAAGGUAACGGCUUACCAAGGCAACGAUGCGUAGCCGACCUGGGAGGGUGAUCGGCCACACUGGAACUGAGACACGGUCCAGACUCCUACGGGAGGCAGCAGUAGGGAAUCUUCCGCAAUGGGCGAGAGCCUGACGGAGCAACGCCGCGUGAGUGAUGAAGGUCUUCGGAUCGUAAAACUCUGUUAUUAGGGAAGAACAAAUGUGUAAGUAACUAUGCACGUCUUGACGGUACCUAAUCAGAAAGCCACGGCUAACUACGUG